AUAUAUAUAUAUAUGUAUUGUGAUUUCUAUAUCCCUUCUCAUCAUGAUAUUUCCAUGUUGUACGUAAAAAAAGAGUUUCAUACUCAUUUAUAACAUUCAUUAGUGUGAUAUAAUUGAGUAAGAAAUAAAAUAUAGUCAGAUUAGGACACUCACUGACUUGAGAUUGUCUGGAUAAGUAUGAUUCUAUAAGCCAGAAUGAAGUCAGUCAUUUCCUCUCCCUCAAAUAAUCAUGAAAAGGUUUAAUGUACUUAAGUAAUUGCAGGAAUAUAUAUAUAUAUAUAUAUAUAUAUAUAUAUAUAUAUAUAUAUAUAUAUAUAUAUAUAUAUAUAUAUAUAUAUAUAUAUAUAUAUAUCUUUUGCUAAUACGUCAGUGAAUGUAAAUGGGGUUUGAUAUAUGGUGCCUGUUCCAUCUGAUCACUGUAUUAAGGUAUUGUUCAUAGUUAUAAACAACAGGAAACAAACAAUUAUUCUCUAAGGCCAAAAGAGCUGCAAUGAAAAGAAAUCAAGCAUAAUCCAGCAUAAUUUCAUAAUUUUAUUCCACUUGUUACAUAGUUUAUUGCAUCUUUCAUCAUGCACAUGUCUAGUAUUAAGUCUAGAUGCCGGUCCUGGUGUCAGGCCAAAGGUGCCAUAUUACUAUACCUGACCCAAACAAUACACAUUUAAUGCCAAGCUACCAGUUGUCAUAUUACCCCACUACAGUUGAAAGUCCCUUGCAAUGCUUUGGUUCAUUAUCAUUACCACAAUUCAGCAUUUUGAAGGGUACAUCUUAUUUCAGCAUAAUCAAUAGGUUUGUAUGAUUAGUUAUUGAAAUAUAAAACUAGAAAAUAUUAUAUGCAUUUUUCUCUCAGUUUUGGUGUUAUAGUAAACUGAUAUUGAUACCACAAGAAAGAACUGUAUUUAGUUUCCAAAUCUUUAAUUUCUCAUUAUCAAUACAAGGAAAUUACCGAUUUCCUUGCAUAUAAGCUGUUGUUAGAAAAGAAGGUCUAUGUAUCCAUCCAAGUCACUUUCACACAUUUUGUUACUUUUGGCUACCAUAGAUAUUUCAUUUUAAUGUAUAUUAUUAGUUAUAAGUUUCUUAAUGAAUUCUACAUCAGCAGGGCCCAAGCAUCACCCUACUGGGCCCUUGUAUUCAGGUGAAGCUUGGGCCAUUCUCCAUCCUUUAAUAAAUGAUGAUGAUCAUCAAUAUUAUCAUACUUUGAUGUCUUGCUCCAUUUUGGAGGUUCAUGGCAUGUUAACCUCCUUUACAGGCUGUUCUGCAAUGCCUCCAUAAACCUUUGCUUUUGAUAUUAUGAAAGUUUUCAAUAGAUUCUGACAUAAUCUUUAGUUUUUCACCAUCCUUACAUAUUGCUUUUAUUUUUUUAUCUUAUGUAUGUGUUGUACUGCCAUACAUAUACGAGUAUGAAUCUUAUAUUGCCUGCUCUUCCAACAGAUCCUUAAGUACUUUUUGUAUGUGGUGGUAUUUUUGUCUUGUUUCUGGACCAUAGAGGUUAAUCAUAGCAGCUGCAUUUCAUCAGUCCAUUUAGUUGCAUGAUUAGGUUAGAUAUUCACACAGUGGUGUAGGCCAUUCACCUAUGGUCACCUACUGGUUCCCUCAGCCACCCAUUCCCCUCUUACAGAAAGAACUCAAAAACCAUGUUCAUAUCCAUUACUCCAUCACUCUAGCAGAGGAAAAGUUCAUUUGACAAGUGAUUCAUUCUUGUUUCAGUAGCAUUAUUAUUACAUUUUGAAAUAGUUUAGUUUCUAUAGAAGGAAUAAUAUUUAAUGAAUUUGAUAGAUCACAAGACCAUAAAUCAUUUGAAGUUCACAAAAUAACAAUAUAGUAAAAGAGCUCUGUUUUAGCAACUGGUAUUGUAAAUGUAAUUUUUCACUAUAAAGACAUUAAAUUAGUUUUAUUUUGUAGACAUUGUUUUGUGAUGAGAAAGUAAGAGUGCUUAACAGAUUAAACUGCUAUUACAUGAUCAUGAUCAAUAUUUCUCUCACUCCAUCAGUUAUAAGGUAGGCAUGCCUGCCAAUCCAUUGCGGAAUCAUUCCUCAUGAUGGUAACUAAUCACGCGAGUAGUAAGCUACAUGCAGAUGAGGAAGAUGGUUUACCUAAAUUUAUAGUAAGGGUUUAGCUGCUAAGGGAGCAAUAAAGCUGAUUUACGAAAGAAAAAAAAAAUUAGCUUUUGGAUUAAUUUCAUGUACGUUUUAUUUUUAUUUUUUAUUUUAUUUUUUUUUAGUUUUCUGCAUAAUUAUUUAUAAGGUUUCCCAAAGUAAUGUGUGUCUGUGUUAGGGGAAGGAUUUCAAAGAUAGGCUACAUCAGAAAGGUAUAGUUAAGUUCUUGUUGCUUAUUUGGAGAACUUCACAGAUGAUAGUGUUUAUAUGGAUGAAAAGAAAGGUAUGAGAUCGCUGAGAGUAAUGAAAAGAAUUUCUUUUUGAUGACUAAUCAGCUUGGGUUUUAGCAAGGUCUCUGGAGUGCGGCAUUCCCAUGACGUAGGAGGAACAAGAGAUGCAUGGCUGUACGCAGUGAAGGCGAUCUUUUUUCACGAUACCCUUCGAGGUGAUUACACUGUGUGAAUAUAUGUAACAUUACAUAAUAACAUUGUGAACCACUGAAUAAACAAAAUAAAUAAAUAAGGUUUUCCACAACGCUGGCAGGUAUUCUAAGAAAUGGUAAUAGUUCCUAGAAUAGUUUCGCACCAACUUGAACUAGUCUCGAGUCGAAUCAAGAGUCAUGAAGCCUCGGAUUGCUCGGAUCCUUGCAGCAUCAGCCUUCUCAUACGAAGGCCACGCAUCAGCUUGGUAAAUUUAGAGAAAGAGGCUGGCAUAAAAGUUUUGUUUGUUAGUGAGGCUUUAAUUUUAUAUACUGCUUUGAGCUAAAGAAGGUAGUGUUGAGCCAUAGUGUGUGAAGAACCUGAAGAGUCAUCACCUGUGCCAGACACCGAGGAAAGAUCUUGGUUGUCGAGGUUAUUAGUCAGACUCAGAGGGUGAACAGCAAUGCACACAAGAUCGCAAAACCGACGAGUGUGUCAGUGUCCUACAAGCGUCCUCUCCCUCACACCCAUUCGUGGGGAGCAAAGCAAUAAAUAGGAUCAGCUCGGACACUUACUGCCGCAGGGAAGGCAACAUCGUGUCCCUCGUGCCCUCCACCUGCCGUCCCUCGUAAUGGAUAAUGUCCCCUGCGCCCUUCAUCUCCCUCCUUCACACCGCCGGCCGUCUGUCAGCCUCCCCGCCCGAGCAAACACGGUGACCAGUAAUGCAACACACCUGUCAUGGCUGGUUCGUGCCUUAUCCUCCCAAUUCAUCACUGAGGGUGGGGAAGAGCGUCUGACAGCGGUGCGGCAAGAGAAAUGACACAUACUACUGCAAGAUCUGCCCGGAGUUUGUCUUUCUUUCGUCUUACAAUUGGUGGCAGCCGGAGGAAAGUUGGAAUGUUUGUAGGUGAAAGGGAACGGAGGAAAGGAGGCAUAAAAGAAGUGUGGCAGUGAGAAAGGAGGGAAAGUUUGUAGUGUGGAACGAGUUUGGUUUAUAGCGGGGGGAAGUUUAAACUCGUACAGGGAAGAAGCGAAUGUUUGGUUGGUGUUUGGGCGGUGCGUUCACAGGGAAAGGGCAAGGCGUGAUGGAAGAGGAUAAGGGUUGAGAGAGAGAGAGAGAGAGAGAGAGAGAGAGA